rnacentral:rRNA from 1 species
AGCAUGGGGAGCGAACAGGAUUAGAUACCCUGGUAGUCCAUGCCGUAAACGUUGGGAACUAGAUGUAGGGCCUGUUCCACGGGUUCUGUGUCGUAGCUAACGCAUUAAGUUCCCCGCCUGGGGAGUACGGCCGCAAGGCUAAAACUCAAAGGAAUUGACGGGGGCCCGCACAAGCGGCGGAGCAUGCGGAUUAAUUCGAUGCAACGCGAAGAACCUUACCAAGGCUUGACAUAUAGAAGAACGGGUCAGAAAUGAUUCACUCUUUGGACACUUCUAUACAGGUGGUGCAUGGUUGUCGUCAGCUCGUGUCGUGAGAUGUUCGGUUAAGUCCGGCAACGAGCGCAACCCUCGUCCUAUGUUGCCAGCACGUAAUGGUGGGAACUCAUGGGAUACUGCCGUGGUCAACACGGAGGAAGGUGGGGAUGACGUCAAAUCAUCAUGCCCCUUAUGUCUUGGGCUUCACGCAUGCUACAAUGGCCGGUACAAUGGGCUGCGAUACCGCGAGGUGGAGCGAAUCCCAAAAAGCCGGUCUCAGUUCGGAUUGGGGUCUGCAACUCGACCCCAUGAAGUCGGAGUCGCUAGUAAUCGCAGAUCAGCAACGCUGCGGUGAAUACGUUCCCGGGCCUUGUACACACCGCCCGUCAAGUCAUGAAAGUCGGUAACACCCGAAGCCGGUGGCCUAACCCUUGUGGAGGGAGCC